UCGCUUCGGCAGCACAUAUAUGGAAAUUGGAAUGAUACGGAGAAGAUUAGCAUGGCCCCUUUGUAAAUUCAUGAAGCAUUCCAUAAUUUU
ensembl:snRNA LOC120097194 U6 spliceosomal RNA